rnacentral:rRNA from 1 species
UUAAAAACUUUCAGCAACGGAUCUCUUGGCUCUGGCAUCGAUGAAGAACGCAGCGAAAUGCGAUACGUAAUGUGAAUUGCAGAAUUCAAUGAAUCAUCGAAUUUUUGAACGCAUAUUGCGCCUACCGGUAUUCCGGCGGGCAUGCUUGUUCGAGCGUC